rnacentral:misc_RNA from 1 species
UUGAUUGAUUUGUAUUCAAUACUCGACGCAAAGAUGCAGAAUUGAUUGGUCCUCUGGGGGACCCCUAACCGCGGACGGCCGGGUCGCCCCCCGAGGCAACAGAUAAUAUCGACAAAGGGUUGGAGGUCGGGCGCGAGGGCCCUCACUCAGUAAUGAUCCCUCCGCAGGUUCACCUACGGAGA